UUGGGUCACCCUACUGUGUGGGCUUGUGUAGCCAGCUAGCUAACGUUAGCAAACACAUUAGCUAAGCUUACUCCUGCUAGCGCGAGUGGGUGGCUGUGUGCUUGUGUAGCCAGCUAGCCAGCUAAUGUUAGCAAACACAUUUGCUCCACUUACUCCUGCUGGCACCCAAGAUUUGAUAUAUUUUGCGUGUGUGUGAUGUGUGUUGAUCUUUUAUUCGUGUAAGUCGAAAAUCUAUCAGUACUACCCACUAGCUAACUAGCCCCAUUCACUCGCUCAUUUUGUGUGUCAAUACGCAGUAUCUGUCUUUUUUGGAGAGCUAGCUAGCUAGAUAGUUACCUAAUUUUAACAGAAUUUAAUCGUUUUUGUCCAUUGCUAGGUUCCACUAGAGAUAACGACACUACAGGCUGUUUGAAAGACAACACCGACUCAGAUGUUGAAGCACAGAUUUCCCUGCCUAGCACUCCGAGGCUAAUCAUGCUUGGAGGCAGCCACGUCCCUUGAAUUUGUCCAACGCUUUUUUGUCCAGAUAAAUCCAGAACGGAGUAAAUGUGCUGCUAAAUUCCAGACCAGCAAGAGCACGGGAAAGAAGGUUCAACGGAAAAAUCAGUCCCUGAAUCAACAUGUCGCCGCUCUAAUCCAGGACUUCAUUGAAUAUGACUGGCAGAAUACCUAGAGCAGGCCAGUAAAGAAGACGUCCACUCCACUCAGGCUCCAUUUUCAUACACACAGACACACACACACACACACACACACACACACACACACACACACACACACACUGAUAGAUGCUGGGGUGAAGUUAUUGUUCUUGUGGUAGGACUUCACUACAACAUAUGCGCACAUUCUCUCUCUCUCUCUCUCUCUCUCUCUCUCUCUCUCUAUGUCUCUUUCUCUCUCUCUCUCUCUCACACACACACACACACACACACACACACACACAAACCGGUUGGGUUUUGUUUACAAACUACACAUUGACUCUCUUACACACACUCAUGCGCACACAUGUAUUUGCCCACAUGGAUUCUCUAUCCCUUCCUCUCUGACUAGCACAUCACACAUGUACACGCACAGAGACAUGGACACAAACACACACACUACUCUGUCACACAUGCAUGUUCUCUCUCUACCUCCCUCGCACACACUUCUGUCUAACUACAACAUGCUCCUCUCUCUCAUAUCUUUCCGAUAUGUUGGGUUUUACUGUUGGUUUUUACUAAUACUAGUAGAGUAUGAUACAUUGAUAGACCAUGCUUUUCAUAUAUAUGUCUAUGUGUCAUAUCCUGUAUAUCUGAGAAUGUGAACGCUUGGAUGAAGUUUUACCGUUUGUUUUUAUGAAUUCUAAUAGUUGAAUAAAGUUUUUAAACCUCA